rnacentral:tRNA from 4 species
GCGGAAGUAGCUCAGUGGUAGAGCAUCACCUUGCCAAGGUGGGGGUCGCGGGUUCGAAUCCCGUCUUCCGCU